rnacentral:misc_RNA from 1 species
AUCUUGGUCUUCCUCCUACGCGAGCUUCAAAUCACCCGAUACUAGGAGCAAAAGAUAGCACUACCAUCACAUGUUAAGAGAUGGCUUGGAAAGUUCUCCUUCAGGUUUUGUUUGCACAAGUCUUCAAUGUUCUUUCCUGGCCUUCAUUUACCUUGCUUUGUCCCUUGUAUGCUUCGUUUUGGGCUAUGGAGAGUGAUUCGCUGGCCAAUAGUCAGCAAUGUCUGACUUUCUGGGUUCUUUUUGCUCUUCUUGCUAUUUUGGAGAAGGCACUUGCUAAGCUUCUACUAUGGCUUCCUUUCUGGCCUUAUGUCAAGGGGGUAGUGACCGUCUUGUUAGUGGUACCUUAUUUUGGUGGUGCUUCUUAUGUUUACAAGUGUUUUGUGAGAACUCAUUCAUUUAAAGUUUCACACAUAUUCUGUUUGAUAUGGAACAUCUUGUUCUUCUCAAUGAGGAAAAGUUUCUCAUUCAGUGGGCAGAACAACUUUGUUGAUGAGAUAGGUAAAAACAUAAUUGUCGAUGGACAAGAAGAACUGCAGAAAUCUAUUGUUUUCCAGGGAACAUUAAAGCCUAAUUAUGACAACACAGAGAGGGAUCGUACACCGAUUAUUUCAAAGAAAGUCCAAAAGGAGUGGAGUUGCUCACUUUGUCUGGUAAGCACUACCAGUGAAAAAUGUUUAAAUAAACACCUGCGAGGUAAGAAACAUAAGGCAAAGCUAGAAGAAGUGAGAGCUGAAGAAUUGGCAUUGAAGUCAACAUACAAUUCGUUUUAUACUGCAUAUAGAAACAAAAGGAUGGUUUUCGUUGGAAACUUGGUCAAUCUUGGAAAGUGGAGCAGGCUAAUAAGCCCUAUCAGACCAAUUAGAUUGUGCAAAUGGGAAAACCCAAAUGUGGGAUGGAUUAAAUUAAAUACCGAUGGAUCUAUAGAUCAAGAAAAUGCUCGUUUUGGUGGUUUGCUUCGUGAUUACAAAGGUGAUGCAAUAUGUGCUUUUGUGUCUAAAGCUCAUCUGGAUGAUAUUUUCUUGGUUGAACUAUGGGCUGUAUGGAGAGGUCUUGUUCUUGCUUUUGGUCUUGGGAUUAAAGCAGUGUGGGUUGAGUCUGACUCUAUGAGUGUUGUGAAAACCAUUAAUGGGGAGCAGUCUCAUAGAAGAAAAGCUGAUAGAUGCUUGAAGCACAUUUGGCUCCUUUUAAGGAAGUUUGAGAACUACCAAGUGUCUCAUUCAUGGAGAGAAACUAAUAAAGCAGCCGAUUUCCUCUCAAAAAUGGUUCUGGAGAAAACUGAUGUAGUAUUAUGGCCUUAUGAUUUUCCUAGUGGCCUUCAAAAUAUCAUCAAGGAUGAUGCUCAAGGAAGGAUAUAUUGCAGACGACAACUUCAGAUUUGAUUUACCUUUGCAUUUCCCACUAAAACUAAAAUGAGAAGGGGGAAAAUCUACAAGAAUAUAAUCAAGGGUGUAAAUACGUGACUUCAUUCAAGAGGAGGUUGGCUUAGGAUUAUUAAAUAUGACUUCAAUUGGCCAUUUACAUGAUCUCUAAUUACUGGAGAAACAAGCAGUAGCAAGCAAUUAAUUUAUUUUUAGCUAGCUAUUUUGUUUGUUAGUUUGCAAGUUCUUGUAAUUUGCUAGUUUUGUUUUUAAUUUAAAACUGACAACGGGCAAACUAGUUCCAUCCUAUUCUUCUUUCUUUCUCCUUUCUUCAUUCUCUGUAACUGUAUCUGGUAUAUCUGCUACUUUUUUCUGAAGUAAUGAGAGAGUUCCAUAUUUCUCUCAAUCAGUUUUUGUAGUAUGGUAUCAGGGAAUUUUUUGGUUCUUCUUUCAUCUGAUAGACGGUUUCUUUUUGAGA